GAGGCCCGAAUGAAACUACUACUAAAAAACCCGAUGCCAUUCCUACCAUCUUCUUCCACCGUCCUCAACCACCAUCCAAGAGGAAAUCAACAACACGACGUCGGGAAGAGUCUGAGCGUCAAAAGACGCACUUGACCAUCGAAGCUUGCGGGACUUUGACAGACAUCACACAUCAGUCUCCAUUGCAUUCCUAUAUCAACAUUUGCUGGACUGAGUGGACUCCAGGCCUUUGUUCAUUUUAAUGGUUAUUAAUUUGAAGACUCAUCAGCAGUUAUGCUUCACGUUGCAACAAACAAUCUUGAACGGGGAGUUUGGGAGAAGGACGAAAAGGAUUUUGUUCAGCUUAAUCCUUUCAAUAAAACAAAAAUCUCUGAUACUCCCAAAGUUCCAAGGUGGGAUUCCAGAGCUUCACACGAACAAAGCAUUUAUUAUAUUAAUAGAAAACUGACUGAACAACAAUCAUUUGUUGUUGUUUUUCUGACAGACGCACUCAACCAUCGAAGCUUGCGGGACAUUGACAGACAUCAAUCUUCGUUGUAUGAAGUAGCAUUUACCGAGGAAGAAGAAAGAAGAACUGUCACCUUUAUACAAUUUAACAAUAUUGAACUCUAAUAAUACUUUUAUUCUCAGCGACACAUUUUAUGCCUGUGAUGGUCUCAAUAUAAAUGUCAAAGUCAGUUCAUAAAUAAAAUAUAAAUAUUAGAAAAUGCAAA